rnacentral:rRNA from 1 species
CCUACGGGAGGCAGCAGUGGGGAAUAUUGCACAAUGGGGGAAACCCUGAUGCAGCGACGCCGCGUGAGUGAAGAAGUAAUUCGUUAUGUAAAGCUCUAUCAGCAGGGAAGAAAAUGACGGUACCUGAGUAAGAAGCCCCGGCUAACUACGUGCCAGCAGCCGCGGUAAUACGUAGGGGGCAAGCGUUAUCCGGAUUUACGGGGGGUAAAGGGAGCGUAGACGGGAGUGCAAGUCUGGAGUGAAAGGCGGGGGCUCAACCCCCGGGGUGCGCUGGAAACUGUACGGCUGGAGUGCAGGAGAGGUAAGUGGAAUUCCUAGUGUAGCGGUGAAAUGCGUAGAUAUAUGGAGGAACACCAGUGGCGAAGGCGGCUUACUGGACUGUAACUGACGUUGAGGCUCGAAAGCGUGGGUAGCAAACAGGAUUAGAUACCCUAGUAGUC